GACGAACGCUGGCGGCGUGCUUAACACAUGCAAGUCGAGCGGUAAGGCCCUUUCGGGGGUACACGAGCGGCGAACGGGUGAGUAACACGUGGGUGACCUGCCCUCAGCUCUGGGAUAAGCCUGGGAAACCGGGUCUAAUACCGGAUAUGACUCCAUGACGCAUGUUGUGGGGUGAAAGCCUUGUGCGGCUGAGGAUGGGCCCGCGGCCUAUCAGCUUGUUGGUGGGGUNAUGGCCUACCAAGGCGACGACGGGUAGCCGGCCUGAGAGGGCGACCGGCCACACUGGGGACUGAGACACGGCCCAGACUCCUACGGGAGGCAGCAGUGGGGAAUCUUGCGCAA
rnacentral:rRNA from 1 species